rnacentral:rRNA from 1 species
AAAUUGAAGAGUUUGAUCAUGGCUCAGAUUGAACGCUGGCGGCAGGCCUAACACAUGCAAGUCGAACGGUAACAGGAAGAAGCUUGCUUCUUUGCUGACGAGUGGCGGACGGGUGAGUAAUGUCUGGGAAACUGCCCGAUGGAGGGGGAUAACUACUGGAAACGGUAGCUAAUACCGCAUAACGUCGCAAGACCAAAGAGGGGGACCUUCGGGCCUCUUGCCAUCGGAUGUGCCCAGAUGGGAUUAGCUUGUUGGUGAGGUAACGGCUCACCAAGGCGACGAUCCCUAGCUGGUCUGAGAGGAUGACCAGCCACACUGGAACUGAGACACGGUCCAGACUCCUACGGGAGGCAGCAGUGGGGAAUAUUGCACAAUGGGCGCAAGCCUGAUGCAGCCAUGCCGCGUGUAUGAAGAAGGCCUUCGGGUUGUAAAGUACUUUCAGCGGGGAGGAAGGGAGUAAAGUUAAUACCUUUGCUCAUUGACGUUACCCGCAGAAGAAGCACCGGCUAACUCCGUGCCAGCAGCCGCGGUAAUACGGAGGGUGCAAGCGUUAAUCGGAAUUACUGGGC